AAUGGAAGCUCAAAGAAAUAAGCAGGAAACAGCAAACACUUCUCAAGAAGAUCUGGAUUUCCCGUACAAGUGGCAGAACUGGUUGUUUGCUGGGCUAUUUGCCACAGUAGCAAUGAUUGGUUAUGCAUUUGCCAGUGGUUUAGUUCAGGUUGAAGUGUUAGAAGACGACGAAGAUGAAAUAUUAGAGCAACCACCAGAAUUCCAAGAAUGAUGAAAGUUAAAUAAUUUAACUUAUACAGAAUUAAUAUAGCAUUUUCAAUAUGUGACAAGGGGAACUUUUCAUUCUACAACAGAAAAAAUUAUAACGGGUCAUGCAGUAAUACCAGUGUAUCUGUAAAGGAUGUUAGAAAAAAUGUAGGAAAUGUUUAGUCUUGUAAUCUGAUUAAGAAUUUUAAUGUCUUGUUUUUGUGGUGGAAAUUUUUGCAAAAAUGCAUUUUGGCUUUAAUGGUAUUAAAAAUUUCUUUAUUGCCAACAGAAAUACUGUAUAUGGAAUGUAAAUCCCACACUAACUGUUUGAGGCAUAACCAGUGGGGGAAACUUGUAUGUGUUAAAGCAUCUACAUAGUAUGCAAAAGUUCAGUUUAUGAUAAUGGAGUCAAACCAUACCUUUUGAAAAGCUGUUUCUAAACAGUAUCAAAUAAAAUUCACUAAUGAAAAUACAUUAGUAAUAUAUUUUAAUAUGAAACUUUAUUUAUUUGUGUAUGUUAAAUGAAUCAGAAGUAGUAUACCUAGUUUGAUAUUUGGAAAUGAGAGUUUUGAUUAUAUCAGACGGAACUUUACUAGUUUUGUGUUAAUGCCAUGGGUCUGGUUAAAAAACAACAAAGUUUCAGGACGUUUAACCUAAUAUGUGUGUGUUCAGCAAGAAUAAACCACCCUAUCUUGGCCAUUACAUACAAAUUUAAAAAAAUGUAUGAAUUAUCCUAAAAGUAGCUAAGCUAAACCCAUUAACUUUUUUUAUAUAAUGUUUAGGGUUUUCAGUUAAAUAAAAGAUGUUCCUAGCAUCCAUAAACCUCUUGCUAACAAGUCAAUUUAUCUAACAAAACAUUUUCAAAUUAAAGAAUUAAAUGUUACUGUACUUCCAAAACCACUUACUGCAGUAUGGAGCACCUAAUCAUCUAUAUAAUUUUUGCUAUGACAUGUAGCAGUGUCAACUCAAUUGUGUGUUUAAUCCAUUAUUAAGUAGUUUCUAUGGAAUUGUUAGAAUUCAGCUAAUACUUGGGAUAAAGACAUUGUAAAAUCUGUUAACUAAGGUUAAAAUUAUUAGCUAAAAUAGGAAGUACACUAAAGUGAUGUUUAUUUCAUAUUACAUAAAAAGAAACCAUGCUACAUCUUUUAGUGUUUGUUCAGCUGGUACUCGUGCAUUAAUAGUAUCAGCUAAACAAGUUGAAGUUAUUAUCUAGCUGAAACUCCCAAACCAAAACUUUCUUUACCUGUUAAAUAAACGCUAAGAUUACAGUUUAAGAAGUAAGGUGGUUUGUGCUGUUGCUUUAAUGGUCCCUUCUUUUCAGACAUGUUUUUAAUUGAUCAAUAGAUAAAUGAGUAAUAAUUCCUGCACUUUCUUAAGGCUUAGAUGUCUAGUUAAAUAAUUACAAAAUACUACAUAUAAUGAAAAUUUGUUCCUUAGGGUCUCUGCAUUUUUGUGUUCCACACUAAAUGUUGGUGGUUAGGGUGUUCCACUCACAAUUUCAAACAUGCUUCCCCUUUCAGUUGUGUGGGCAAUAUAUGUGAUGGUCAAUCUCACUUUUCAUCGGUAAAAGAUUAGCCCAAGAAUUGGCAGCAGGUGGUGUUGACCAGCUACCUUUCAUGUAAAUUAGGGUUAGUGCAGGUAGUCCUUGAGCAGCUUAGUGCAAAAUUUUAAAAACAAAAUAUUUUCGAUUACUGAAUCCCACUGUUACCGAUAUAUCUUUGCUGUGGAAGAUGGAUUUUUAGAUCUUUUUUUUUUGUAAAUUAUUUUCAAUAUGAAUUCUAAGCUGGUUAAGUAAUAGUUUCUGUGAAGCAAUUUACCGAUACAUCUAAUGUCUCAACCACUACCAUAUCCCAGCUUGGCUACAGAGUGCUGCUAUUGAGCAAAGAGCCUCAACACUGAAUAUAACGGAUUAUAUAAUCAUAUUUACUUUCACUCAGAAAUUAUUACUAAUAAUCUCUCUGUGUAAUGUGUUUAAUUCAUUUUAGGUUGAUGAAAGUGCCUACAUGCCAAAGAACCUACUGUCUGGUGGAGCAUUUCUUGGCAGGUUAAAUAUGGGAAGUUCUCCACGUUCCUACUAGAGAUCCUCCGCACUCUUCUGUUGGAGGUAGCUCAAAACAUUUUAUUUAAGUACACUAAUAACUGAUAAUUCCAGUCUUCCUAUGGAAGAUUACCCCAUAGUGUUAUCUACGACAGAUAAUAGGUCCAUGUGGUAUAUACAGUUGUGAGAAUCGCAGUUGUGGUAACUGUAUUGGUCCAUGUGGUAUAUACAGUUGGGAGAAUCACAGUUGUGGUAACUGUCUUGGUCUACGUGGUAUAUACAGCUGUGAGAAUCACAGUUGUGGUAACUGUCUUGGUCCAUGUGGUAUAUACAGCUGUGAGAAUCACAGUUGUGGUAACUGUCUUGGUCCAUGUGGUAUAUACAGCUGUGAGAAUCACAGUUGUGGUAACUGUCUUGGUCCAUAUGGUAUAUACAGCUGUGAGAAUCACAGUUGUGGUAACUGUAUUAGUCCAUGUGGUAUAUACAGUUGGGAGAAUCACAGUUGUGGUAACUGUAUUAGUCCAUGUGGUAUAUACAGUUGGGAGAAUCACAGUUGUGGGAACAGUAUAAUCAUUAGAGAACUUAUUUCUGCAAUCCAUCCUUCGGUGAGAUGUGGGUGCUCUACUUUUGAGAUAGGGUGACCAAAUAUGCUUGUUUUUCCUACAGUAGGUUCAUCAUUUUAACUGUACAGUAUAUUCAGGAGUACUCUCCUCACAACUAAAACCACAGUGAAGCAUGGUUAUAUAGUAUAUUACUUUUAAAGAUUUUUCACAAACUGCAUACUACUACAUCACAAUGUCUAAACCAAGAAAGCAUUGUACUGCACCAUACCAGUUUAUAUAUUAUACUUCCACGUUAGGUGAAACUAGUGAUUUAACUGAUUUAAUAUUUAAACAUCUUCAAGUGUACGUGUGUGUAUAUAUAUACACACAAUCCAUCUUCCUUUCGUCAACUUAUGCUGUCAUCUUAAACAAUGAAGUGUAAAACUUACUUCAUCCAAGACAACAGAAAGUGUAAAAUAUUUUAUAUCUCGAGUUUCAACAAUUUUAAUUCAUGUGGGAGAUAAAGUUGUUACUUGACAUCUUGAUUAAACUGAACAUGUGCUUUUAAUCUUGUACAUAACUUUAAAAAAGAAUAGUGUUCCCAUCUAUCCACUUCCAUAUACAGACAUGGAACCUGUAGUAGUUUAGUAAGAUGUUAUUUUUUUUAAAAGAUACGUGUUGUAAGAGAAUGAUUUUUUUACAGACGAAGAAUACUUUCUUUUCGUUGUUUCAAAAUCAAAUACUACAACUUAAUUUUCACUAAUAUUUUAUUUAUUGCAUAUCAACAUGAAAAAUGUAAACUUAUUUUUGCAAUAAAACACAUUAUUCAUAAGAAAAACCCAAGUUUUCUUCCACUAGUAUUCAAGUGAGAUGACAGAAACUACUUUGGUAUUCCUUUGUCUAGGUGUGCACCUGAAAUUAGGUGAUAAACAUCUAGUGAAACAUUGAAUAACAUCAACGUUUACGAAAUUAACAUUUAUCAAAGCUUACAAGUGUGUGUGUGUGUAAUAGCAGGGAAGGAAGUUAAAUUUUAUGUAGCAUGGUGGAAAGCUUUAUCAAGAUGUCUCCUCCCCUUCCCCAAAUGACAAAUAAAUAAAUAAAUAGAAAAUAUAAAAGGCAAAACUAUUAAAA